AAGCGGGACUUCUGUUUCGCUAUUAUAAUGAGGAAUAACCAAAGGUCAUUCCGAUUAGCAACUGAUGGGAAAGUCUAGUGCCAGCAGCCGCGGUAAUACCAGCGUCAGUAGCAUAUAUUAAAAUUGUUGCAGUUAAAACGUCCAUAGUCUGUACGUCGUCACAAACUCACUGCAGUCUUCCGUUUUCUUCAUUGAAUGCGGUAGUUUCUGCAGUCACUCCCUUGAUCAAAUUAGGUUGUUCAGGGUAGACCAAGUCUUCAUAUUUUCACAUGGAAUUGGGUGAGGGAACUUAAGAGUUUAAGUUUCUCGUCUUAGGAUCAUCCGGGGUCAUUCGUACUCGUCCGCGAGAGGUGAAAUUCUUGGACCGGACGAAGACGACCAGCAGCGAAAGCAUCUGUCAGGGAUGUUUUCUGCGACAAAGGACGAAGGUCAGGGUAUCGAAGACGAUUAGAUACCGUCGUAGUCCUGACUGUAAACUAUGCCAACUUGGGUCUUGCUGGGCGAUGCUUUGUGAGACCCACACAGAAAUGAAAGUGUAUGGGUUCUGGGGGUAGUAUGGACACAAGUCUGAAACUUGAAGGAAUUGACGGAAGAGCACCAUAAGACGUGGAGCUUGCGGCUUAAUUUGACUCAACGCGGGAAAACUUACCAGGUCAAGACAUGGGCGUGAUUGACAGGCCAAUGACUUUUCUCGAUUCCAUGGAUGGUGGUGCAUGGUCGCACUUAGUUGGUGCAGUGAUUUGUCAGGUUUAUUCCGGUAACGAACGAGACCUCGGCCUUGUAAAUAGCUACGCUGCUUACAGGGACAUUGGCGGCUACGCCAAGGAAGCUCGAGGCAAUUGCAGAUCUGGAAUGCCCUUAGAUGUCCUGGGUCGCACGCGUGCUACAAUGACGCCACGAACGAGUUUGCGUGAUGAAAGUCACGCAUAAUCAGCAGUCGGCGUCUUAAGGGAUAGUCUCUUGUAACUGUGG
rnacentral:rRNA from 1 species